UUAUUUAGCAAAAAAAACCUAAUUUGUUCCACAGGUGGUUUGUUAUGACAUAAUAAAUGAGACCUCUUCUUUAAAAAGGUGGUCUUUUUGAACCUUAUCAAAAGUUUUUAAUAUUAAAGAAACCACUUAUUCCUAUUAAGUGGUUAUUUUGAUUUUAUAUUUUAAAAUUUUUUUUUUCAUAUAUUCAUGUACGUGUUUUCAGGUAUAUAAUAACUAACUCCUUAAAAAAAAAAAGUAUAUAAUAACUAUAAAAAAAAACGCUAUCAAAACAAAGCAACUUAAACUGAUCUUCCACUACUCUCUCACACUCUCGCUAAACCUACUUCAAGCGGUUCAAGGGAUCAAGGCAAGGUUUUCUACUGCUCAUACUGAAUUUUGCUCACACGAAUUUUGACAGUUUCCAAUAAUAUAUUUUCAUCUUGUAUUAUGUUGGUUCCCACAAGGUUUCUUUUGAAUUGAUUGCUAGAACUUGCGACUGCUGCUUGGAGUUGCUCGAUUUUGGCGAGAGAAAUCUGACCCCUGUUGUCGGAGAUUGAAGCUCGACUUUUCGUUUUAAUUCAGUACUUUGGCGGAGUUACAACUGAAUUUUCUCAAAAUAAGCUUGAUGAGCUCAUAGUCUUGUGGAUCAAAUAUGUGGAUGAAUAUAAACAAGUGGAUGAAGAAGAAUUGGAAGAUAAUGACCAUUUUAAUUAGGAGUGUGUAUUUUCUUUUUGAGCGGGAUUAGGGAGGUGCUUCUAUUUUUGUGCACAUGAAUUGGAAGAAACAUGCCUAGGUGUUCUAUUAUUUUUUUAUAACUUAGUUGAAUUUUUGGAAUCUUUUAAACAUUAUAUGUGAUUUUGUAGUGAAUGAUAUUAAAUGAAUGAAAAAGUAUUCCAAUUUUAAAGUCA